rnacentral:misc_RNA from 1 species
GAAAUGCGAUAAGUAAUGUGAAUUGCAGAAUUCAGUGAAUCAUCGAAUCUUUGAACUCACAUUGCGCCCGCCAGUAUUCUGGCGGGCAUGCCUGUUCGAGCGUCAUUACAACCCUCAGGCCCCGGGCCUGGCGUUGGGGAUCGGCGGAAGCCCCCUGCGGGCACAACGCCGUCCCCCAAAUACAGUGGCGGUCCCGCCGCAGCUUCCAUUGCGUAGUAGCUAACACCUCGCAACUGGAGAGCGGCGCGGCCACGCCGUAAAACACCCAACUUCUGAAUGUUGACCUCGAAUCAGGUAGGAAUACCCGCUGAACUUAAGC